rnacentral:lncRNA from 1 species
CCUCAUUUGCAGCUUCAGCUACUCAAGUGAGAGGCGGUGGCCGAAGCCCGAGCCCUUGCGGGAGGGUGGAUUGGAGCGGCGCUGGGCUCGGCGGGCACAGGCCCGGAUGAUGAGGUACACCACCUCAGCCACAUUGAGGAUGAUGCAGAUGCCAGAGGCGGCUAGCAUGAAGACGGUGAAGACGGUUUUCUCGGUGGGGCGGGACACGAAGCAGUCCACUGUGUUGGGGCAGGGGUAGACGUCGCACUUGACCAGCCGCACCAUGGCAUAGCCAGGGUAGAGCAGAUAAAAGACAUACAUGAAGACGGCCUCAAACAACAGCCGGAACACCACGCUGAUGACAUAGGUCCACCACAGUGUCCCUGAGAUGUGGACCUUGUGCCUCUUCACCUCCUCCAGGUGUAGGGGGUCCCCAUGGCCCUCAAGCCGUAGCAUUUUCUUCUCUAUGUGUUGCUGGUGAGCCACGUGCAUGGCCACGAGGAGAGCUGGGGUGGAAACUAGGAUGAGCUGCAGGGACCACAGCCGCACAUGGGAGAUGGGGAAGAAUUGGUCAUAGCAAACGCUGUUGCAGCCAGGCUGGAGUGUGUUGCAGAUGAAGGAGGAUUUCUCAUCACCCCACACACUCUCUGCAGCCACCACCAGCACCAUGAUUCUGAAGAUGAAGAUGACCGAGAGCCAUACUCGGCCAAUGGCAGUAGAAUGCCGGUUCACGCCACUGAGCAAGGUGUACAAAC